AUCGGUCCAUAGCCUUUUGUCUAAGAUCUUUUUCAGAGAACUGUUCUUGUCAGCUUAAUAUCUGGUACGGGGCCAAGGGGGCCUGAGGCAUUAAUCUUGUAUUUGUGGAAUAGCAUUUUUUUACGAGCUUGCUCGGGAGAUGCUUGGGUCAGCCCGGCGUUGCACAGCUGCCCAGAUUGGCCCAUAUCUU
rnacentral:snRNA from 1 species